rnacentral:rRNA from 1 species
AUGCCGCUCCACGGCCGCACUCCUGCCUUCGACCAUCAUCUUCCGAUGCUCCUGCCACUGGGCGAUGAUGGAGAUGGAACAAACAAGGUGUGGACAGGGGAGAAGAGGCGCCGCAAGUACCUACCCCCAUCAUCUUCCGAUGCUCCUGCCACUACCCAGCAUCUUCAAGACCCGAUUUCUCAUGCGACAGACAUGGAGAUGGAGGACACCAUCUUGCCACAAGAAGGUGGCGAUGAGCACACCGGGCCAGGCGUUAUUCUCACCAAGGAAGACCAGGCCGAAUAUGCUAAAAUUUUGCGUCCCAAUAUUUCUCCUCCUAUUGACCCGAACUCUUAUAUGGCAUUUGAGGACUACGACGAGAUAGAAGAGCGCCUUGCACGCCUUCGCAUCGCUUAUUACAAGAUUGUGAAGCCAGAGGCUGCACAUGAACUAAAGGAACCAGAAGAGUACACCGAGGAUGAACUUAUUAAGGAGUCCUACUUUCGGCAUUUGGAGGAUGAUGAUAGUUUUGAGUGGUUCUUCCAUCGCGAUGAUAGCCAGAACCCUGGAUUGAAUGACUACCAACGCAUUGUCCUUAGUAAUUUCCUGCCUGAUAGUUGUGAACGCCUGUAUCGCUAUCACGAUGAUUACCGCUCACGUUAUCAUACAUAUGAAAUUGAUUCCGUUUAUGUCAAGUACUAUGGAGAAAUAUCAAAGAAAUUGAAGUGGGUUGCAGAUUAUGUAAAUCUGGAUCGCAGUACCGAGAAGUGGAGAAACAUGGAUACUAUAGCAUGGAGGCAAGCAUUGAGGAUUGCAACCCACUUCCCCCAUAUGACUGUUCGUUUAGCUGCUUUUGCUUAUAAUGAGUACAUUAUAGAGCUGAGAGAAGAUGCGUCCCUCAAGGACAUAGAUCUUCUCUAUUUUGAGAUAUGGAGGCUUGUCGCCAAGGAAGAUAGAAAAUACUUAGAUGCUGUGAAGGAAGUAUAUGCAAUGGACAAAUUUGCUAUACACAAAAGGGUACUACAUGCUGAACUGAAUGCGGCUACUGUCUUUGUAACAAUAAAGCAAAUGAUUUAUUCUAUUGUCACGGAGGGUGGCAUUGAUCUGAAGGCUAAGGAGGAUGAAGCUCGGGAUGUGUUUAGCAAGUUAGCUUUCGGGAAGCAUAAAACAAAGAACAUGGCGCAGUACGCUGAGAAGAAGAUGGAGAUCGCAGGUCGGUUGGGUUUGGACAAAAAGUCCAUCAUCCCCUUCGACAACUCCGCUCAUGCAGCUCCACUGCUCCCCAGCGACACCGGUGACGCCGCGCAGCUCCACCACGCCGCGCCGCCGCGACCCGCAGCUCCACCACACCGCGCCGCCGCGACCCCCAGCUCCACCGCGCAGCUCCGCCACGACCCGCAGCUCCACCGCUCCCUCCAUCCCUGCCCGUCGAUUUGUUCCCUAAAAUACUCACAUUUCCCUAUCCCUGCCCGCGACGAGGCCGAAUGUGUACCACUCCAGCAUCCCCAGCGCGGCGUCCAGCCAGAGGAAGAGGCAGUCGUGGGCGGCGCGGAAGACGCCGUCGGCCUCCACCAGCGCCUCGAUGUAGAUGUUGGAGCCGCCGGCAAAAUUUCAAAUUGGGAAAAGCAAAAUCUCACCUUUCCUUUUCCGGCGGAUAUGAAGGCGGAUCUCUCCUCUUCAUAG